AUAAUGGGUCAGCGACUUAUAUUCUGUAGCAAGGUUAACCGAAUAGGGGAGCCGAAGGGAAACCGAGUCUUAACUGGGCGUUAAGUUGCAGGGUAUAGACCCGAAACCCGGUGAUCUAGCCAUGGGCAGGUUGAAGGUUGGGUAACACUAACUGGAGGACCGAACCGACUAAUGUUGAAAAAUUAGCGGAUGACUUGUGGCUGGGGGUGAAAGGCCAAUCAAACCGGGAGAUAGCUGGUUCUCCCCGAAAGCUAUUUAGGUAGCGCCUCGUGAAUUCAUCUCCGGGGGUAGAGCACUGUUUCGGCAAGGGGGUCAUCCCGACUUACCAACCCGAUGCAAACUGCGAAUACCGGAGAAUGUUAUCACGGGAGACACACGGCGGGUGCUAACGUCCGUCGUGAAGAGGGAAACAACCCAGACCGCCAGCUAAGGUCCCAAAGUCAUGGUUAAGUGGGAAACGAUGUGGGAAGGCCCAGACAGCCAGGAUGUUGGCUUAGAAGCAGCCAUCAUUUAAAGAAAGCGUAAUAGCUCACUGGUCGAGUCGGCCUGCGCGGAAGAUGUAACGGGGCUAAACCAUGCACCGAAGCUGCGGCAGCGACGCUGAUGCGUUGUUGGGUAGGGGAGCGUUCUGUAAGCCUGCGAAGGUGUGCUGUGAGGCAUGCUGGAGGUAUCAGAAGUGCGAAUGCUGACAUAAGUAACGAUAAAGCGGGUGAAAAGCCCGCUCGCCGGAAGACCAAGGGUUCCUGUCCAACGUUAAUCGGGGCAGGGUGAGUCGACCCCUAAGGCGAGGCCGAAAGGCGUAGUCGAUGGGAAACAGGUUAAUAUUCCUGUACUUGGUGUUACUGCGAAGGGGGGACGGAGAAGGCUAUGUUGGCCGGGCGACGGUUGUCCCGGUUUAAGCGUGUAGGCUGGUUUUCCAGGCAAAUCCGGAAAAUCAAGGCUGAGGCGUGAUGACGAGGCACUGCGGUGCUGAAGCAACAAAUGCCCUGCUUCCAGGAAAAGCCUCUAAGCAUCAGGUAACAUCAAAUCGUACCCCAAACCGACACAGGUGGUCAGGUAGAGAAUACCAAGGCGCUUGAGAGAACUCGGGUGAAGGAACUAGGCAAAAUGGUGCCGUAACUUCGGGAGAAGGCACGCUGAUAUGUAGGUGAAGUCCCUCGCGGAUGGAGCUGAAAUCAGUCGAAGAUACCAGCUGGCUGCAACUGUUUAUUAAAAACACAGCACUGUGCAAACACGAAAGUGGACGUAUACGGUGUGACGCCUGCCCGGUGC
rnacentral:rRNA from 1 species